AUACGUAGGGGGCGAGCGUUGUCCGGAAUGAUUGGGCGUAAAGGGCGCGUAGGCGGCCCGGUAAGUCUGGAGUGAAAGUCCUGUUUUUAAGAUGGGAAUUGCUUUGGAUACUGUCGGGCUUGAGUGCAGGAGAGGUAAGUGGAAUUCCCAGUGGAGCGGUGAAAUGCGUAGAGAUUGGGAGGAACACCAGUGGCGAAGGCGACUUACUGGACUGUAACUGACGCUGAGGCGCGAAAGUGUGGGGAGCAAACAGGAUUAGAUACCCUGGUAGUCCACACUGUAAACGAUGAAUGCUGGGUGUAGGGGGUAUCGACCCCUUCUGUGCCGCAGUCAACACAAUAAGCAUUCCGCCUGGGGAGUACGGCCGCAAGGUUGAAACUCAAAUGAAUUGACGGGG
rnacentral:rRNA from 1 species